rnacentral:lncRNA from 1 species
UGCUGCCAUCCACGUAAGAUGUGACUUGCUCCUCCUUGCCUUCCGUCAUGAUUGUGAGGCGCUCCCAGCCAUGUGGAACUCAUUGACAUCUCUACAUUUUGACCUCUGACGUGUUUUGGUUGCCUCUGGACUGGUGCCGACGAUGACUUCUGGUUAUUCCGACAGACGCAAAUGAAGAAGAAGAGUAAAGCAAUGGCCAGGGGAAUGGCCACACUUGGCACUAGUGAAGAUGCUGGAAGACAGAGUGGUUAAGUAAGUUGCCCAAGGACAUGCUGCUAGACAUUCUCCAGGAUUUCACAUUCAUCGCGACACAAGUCACGGGGCUUUGGGACGGAUGAAGUUUCAUCGCAGUACGGGAAGGCAUAGUGGCACAGGGAAGGAAUGGCGAACUGAGAACACUUAUCAGAUAAGUGACUGGAAGUGCCAAUCAUAGUGAAGGCAGCUGGAAAACAAACACAAUUAUUAACUCCCAGAGGCCAGGGUUUAUCUUCUUUGGUUAUCUAGUCAACGGAUAUCAGAUAUAAACACACAUUGCAAGGAAUCCGCCGUGCUGAAACAGACAAGGCCCAGAGAAGGAGAUUCAUUUCAGAUGUCUAAGCAGCUUACUUUCACUGGCUUGAAAAAAACCAUUUUGACUACAAAGUUAAUAAAACAGGA